CAGAUUUAGAAACAAAAGGAGGCCAGGUAUAGGAAAAUAUAAGAAUCAAAGAAGACAUGCAUGAAUGGCAUACAAAACCAAUGGCUCGCUCUCUAUUUGGAAGGAGGAAAAGAAUCACCUUCAUAGUUAUAAGGAGAAUGAAGGACGAAGUUACCGAGAACAGAAGUAUGGAAUGGACCACAAAAUACAAAGCAAGUGCUGACUUGUAUGGGGAAUGUGAGCCACACAUAGCACUGAGAGACAGAUGAAGCAGAGCUGCUGUUUUAAUUUCUACACAACAGUGCCACUCGGUGGAUGGACAAUGGCAGUGAAGGUGGAUGGAGACGCCACGGAUGGAGCAUCCCAGGGAUCCCAUAGGAUUCAGCCCGGGAUGCUGCUGCAGGUCCGUACCUGGGAGCGCAGUGGGGUUCUGCGCGGGGCCGGGCAGUGCAGCAUCGCCACUGGGGGCAUCGCCUGCCAAGCAAAGAGACAUGUUAGCGUGGGACUCCAGUCUGAAUAGGGGCUUGGUGGCGUCCGAUGGGACAUUAUGGCAAAAUCCCAGGGGACAUUUGAACAAUUGCUGCAUUAUACACUGCCUGUGGAAAAGCUGAUUGGGGAGUAUCAUAUUCAUGCUGUCAGAAAAAUUUUAUCAUUACCUAAGGAUAUGCAAUUUUUUUUUUUUU
rnacentral:lncRNA from 1 species